CAUCCAUCGAUGCACUGAACUCCUCUCCUCUUCUCCGUCUGAAACCCAAUAGGCCAUGCUGACAUGUUGACGUCCUUCUUCUGUCCGUCACCAGUUGUUCCUGCUGUGGUUGCUGUUUGUUGCUGCUAGUCUUGUAUCUGUUGUUGUUGUUGUUGUUGUUGUUGCUGUUCUGCUUCUCUGUGCCCCCCCCCCAGCAGCGAACAGCAGCUAACAGCAGCACUGGCCUGCUGGAGGAAAUCUGUCCAUCUGCAACUGUCCGCAGGAGAAAGAGCUGCUGGCAGGCACAAAAACAACAGAAAUCCUCCUUGCCAGGGCUGUGCAGACACCUUUAGAGGGGCAGGUGCUCAAAAUUAAAAAGGGGCACAUGGAGCAAGACUUUUAAAAACCAUACACCGACAUCACUUACAGCAUAACCUGUUGAAUUAUAGCAACCCUUAUUCAAACAGAAUAUAACAUGGAAUCUUACAACAAAUCGCAUCAUAUUAUAUCAUUGUUCCCCACCUGAUGUAAUGGGAGUGGGGGACAAUGACAGUGAUUAUGACUAUGAUUCUCUCUCUAUUGUGUCCAUGUGUGUUCUGUUGGCAGAAAUAUGUUCUUUAAGUAAACAAGCCAGACUUAAUUUUAGAAUCAA